UAAGAGGUCCAGCCUGCCCUGUGACUAUAUGUUUAACGGCCGCGGUAUUUUAACCGUGCGAAGGUAGCGCAAUCACUUGUCUUUUAAAUGGAGACCUGUAUGAAUGGCAUAACGAGGGCUUAACUGUCUCCUUUUUCAAGUCAAUGAAAUUGAUCUCCCCGUGCAGAAGCGGGGAUACACCCAUAAGACGAGAAGACCCUAUGGAGCUUAAGACGCCAAGGCAUAUCAUGUUAAACACCCCUAAACAAAGGGCCAAACCAAGUGAUAACGUAUGCCCCUAAUGUCUUUGGUUGGGGCGACCGCGGGGAAACAAAAAACCCCCACGUGGAAUGGGAGCACCCCUCCUACAACCAAGAGCUGCAGCUCUAAUAAACAGAAUUUCUGACCAAUAAGAUCCGGCAACGCCGAUCAACGGACCGAGUUACCCUAGGGAUAACAGCGCAAUCCCCUUUAAGAGCCCAUAUCGACAAGGGGGUUUACGACCUCGAUGUUGGAUCAGGACAUCCUAAUGGUGCAGCCGCUAUUAAGGGUUCGUUUGUUCAACG
rnacentral:rRNA from 1 species